AUGUAGCACGCGAGCGCUGCAAUCCCUGCGUGCCGGCCGCACCCACCUGACGACUGCUCGCUACAUUUUGUCAGCU
rfam:Xanthomonas oryzae pv. oryzae KACC10331, complete genome.